UCCCUGAGACCCUUAUCCUGUG
rnacentral:miRNA from 1 species